rnacentral:rRNA from 1 species
GACAGCAGUAGCCGCGGGAAUACGAAGGGUGCAAGCGUUACUCGGAAUUACUGGGCGUAAAGCGUGCGUAGGUGGUGGUUUAAGUCCGUUGUGAAAGCCCUGGGCUCAACCUGGGAAUUGCAGUGGAUACUGGGUCACUAGAGUGUGGUAGAGGAUAGUGGAAUUUCCGGUGUAGCAGUGAAAUGCGUAGAGAUCGGAAGGAACAUCUGUGGCGAAGGCGACUAUCUGGGCCAACACUGACACUGAGGCACGAAAGCGUGGGGAGCAAACAGGAUUAGAUACCCCUGUAGUCCCUGUCUCUUAUAC